rnacentral:rRNA from 1 species
CCAUACGAUAACCUACCUAUAAGACUGGGAUAACUUCGGGAAACCGGAGCUAAUACCAGAUAAUAUUUUGAACCGCAUGGUUCAAAAGUGAAAGACGGUCUUGCUGUCACUUAUAGAUGGAUCCGCGCUGCAUUAGCUAGUUGGUAAGGUAACGGCUUACCAAGGCAACGAUGCAUAGCCGACCUGAGAGGGUGAUCGGCCACACUGGAACUGAGACACGGUCCAGACUCCUACGGGAGGCAGCAGUAGGGAAUCUUCCGCAAUGGGCGAAAGCCUGACGGAGCAACGCCGCGUGAGUGAUGAAGGUCUUCGGAUCGUAAAACUCUGUUAUUAGGGAAGAACAUAUGUGUAAGUAACUGUGCACAUCUUGACGGUACCUAAUCAGAAAGCCACGGCUAACUACGUGCCAGCAGCCGCGGUAAUACGUAGGUGGCAAGCGUUAUCCGGAAUUAUUGGGCGUAAAGCGCGCGUAGGCGGCCCUUUAAGUCUGAUGUGAAAGCCCACGGCUCAACCGUGGAGGGUCAUUGGAAACUGGAAAACUUGAGUGCAGAAGAGGAAAGUGGAAUUCCAUGUGUAGCGGUGAAAUGCGCAGAGAUAUGGAGGAACACCAGUGGCGAAGGCGACUUUCUGGUCUGUAACUGACGCUGAUGUGCGAAAGCGUGGGGAUCAAACAGGAUUAGAUACCCUGGUAGUCCACGCCGUAAACAUGAGUGCUAAGUGUUAGGGGGCCCCCGCCCCUUAGUGCUGCAGCUAACGCAUUAAGCACUCCGCCUGGCAGGAGUACGACCGCAAGGUUGAAACUCAAAGGUUGACGGGGACCCGCACAAGCGGUGGAGCAUGUGGUUUAAUUCGAAGCAACGCGAAGAACCUUACCAAAUCUUGACAUCCUUUGACAACUCUAGAGAUCCCGCCUUCCCCUUCGGGGGACAAAGUGACAGGUGGUGCAUGGUUGUCGUCAGCUCGUGUCGUGAGAUGUUGGGUUAAGUCCCGCAACGAGCGCAACCCUUAAGCUCCCUUGCCAUCAUUAAGUUGGGCACUCUAAGUUGACUGCCGGUGACAAACCGGAGGAAGGUGGGGAUGACGUCAAAUCAUCAUGCCCCUUAUGAUUUGGGCUACACACGUGCUACAAUGACAAUACAAAGGGCAGCGAAACCGCGAGGUCCCGCAAAUCCCAUAAAGUUGUUCUCAGUUCGGAUUGUAGUCUGCAACUCGACUACAUGAAGCUGGAAUCGCUAGUAAUCGUAGAUCAGCAUGCUACGGUGAAUACGUUCCCGGGUCUUGUACACACCGCCCGUCACACCACGAGAGUUUUGCAUUCC